CUGGAAUUUUCUAACCCUUCAGGGCAGAAGUACGAAGGGAGAGAUUCAAUCAAGGCAGCAGCAUAAGCUGCCAAGUCUUUGGACAGGAAUAAGAGAAAUCUUCAGCUGCUAGUGCUAAUCCUCCCAGUGUUACAAUUUGCUCAGAGCACUGCCAAUCAUUUUUACUUUUUUAGCACACUGCAUUCCCGUAUGAUUUUCUUUUCUUUUCUUUUCUUUUUUUUUUUUUUUUUUUUCCUGUGGGAUUUGAAUAAUUGGAAAUUACUCUCUGAAGCUGUGGAGAAAUUUCCCUGUUGAAGCAUUGCAGUGUCAAGCCCUACACAACUGGCAUGGCCUGAUAUUACUGCAUUGCUUGAGUUAAGGUUUGCCUAAUACUAAAUGAGAACUUUUUUUUUUGGAGGGAAGUUAUUCAAAGAUGGUAAAUUUUAAAUAACAAGGUGUGAAUGACUGAUAAAAAUGGUGUAACAAAUGUUUUGUAGAAUCCUCCUACAUUUUAGAGCAGUGCAGAGUAUCUGGAACUAGAGAAGUUCCCAGAAUUUUGCUUAAAACAACAACAACAAAAGGCUCCUGUUUCUUCUCAGCUUGAAACCACCUGAUCCUCAUCUAAACCUAGAAGACUGACAUUCUCUUUGUUCUCCGCUUCAAUCAAUUAAGAAUACGUACACAGCUUUUUUGAAUCUACUUACUGCUUACUUAUGACAUUAGAAGGAUGUUCCAAACUGGUGGUCACUGAAUUCUUUUACUUAAAUCAAAACAUUCUGUAGAAAUCUAAAUUUAACCAUCUUUUCUUUCCCCGAGACUGAUAAUAAGCAGGCUUAUAAACUAAAGAGAUACUGUAUCUUUUUUCAGUACAGUGCAAAGACAGAACUGCAUCGUAUACUUAGGCUAGCAGAUAGAGGCCAAAUUCAGUCUUCUGGUGCAUUCUUUGGGAUCAUAUUGAACUCAAUGAGAACCACCUGCACACAGAAUUUGACCCCAAAAUGAAAGCCUAGCCAGAGAUUUGAUUGGAAUUACUUGACUUAGAAGUGAAAUAGUCUUUUUUUUUUUUUUUUAAUAGUAUUUUUUGAAGUAUAUGUAGUAGUAAUAGUAAGUACUAGUAAUAAGGAAAAAUAAGUAACAAUUUCUCUACAGAAUUUGUAAGAAAAAAAAUUAGAAUUACUUUUGGAAAGUAGUGAUGGCCUGCUGCGUUGUACUGUCUUUUUAAAAGUGUCAUUUUCCAGUGGAAUAUCUGAGACAUUAUGUUUGAGAUAUCAGGGCCUUCUGAUGCCUCAUGAAUUCACCUGAGGAACAGUCUGAAAAUCAGCUGAGUCUCAUUUGGUACUAGGACACUAGCUGGUCUCUAGCUGUUCUACAAUCAACAAAUAACUUCACCUACCCUACACUGUAGGUAACUUGUUUGUAAUGUCUUGUUAAAUUACAAAAUGUAUGUUAAAAAUUUGUCUCCUACAACUGAAAAACUUGGUCAAAAAUUUCUUAAAUUUCAUCAAUUCAUCAAUUGGUUAUGGUAAUAACAAAGUGCAAACAUUCUUUUACUUAAUAUGUACCUACCCAUGUGCCCAUCAACAAAAUAACACGGCAUCUGAGGUCAGAAAAUCCUCAUUUCACUUGCCUUGUAAAUAGUAAAGUUGAAAGAAGAACCCUUGAAAUAUUUCAUAUAUUCAUGUACUUGAAAGUGAAACUUUCAUUUAAUAAAAGUGUGAUCUUGAACAGUUGGAAAGUGUGAGUGAUUAAAACGUACACUAAACUUUUGAAAUAUAAUUUCUCUCUCCUUCUCUUUCUUUGUCUGCUUUGUAAUGAGAAAAACAUGAGUGAAUAGUACAGGCAGCUCAAAGGUGUGUACUUAAAAUCAAGUGACUGGAUACCAGUGGUAUUUUUAGGGACGUGGGAGACAUUGACUUAAAUCAAGGACUGAAACCACUAGAACCUGUUCUUAGGCAUAUUCUCAUUCGCCUUCUACCCUUCUCCUUCCAUUCCUCCUCUUUGCUAAAAAAGUGUUUGAUUAAAUAGAAGAGCUCUCUUGAUUUUUGAAUAGUUACUUAUUUGGGGCCAAAUCAGAUACCUUUUCUCAGAGUGAGUAGUACCCUCCUCCACAAGAGUCCUUAAGAUUGCAGUAGUACUAAUGGCAGUGUAAGGUGUUCCUUCAGAUAUACAUUCAAAGAGAGCAGUGCACAAUUUUCAAAAGCAGAUUGAAAGCUUAGUUCAUAGCAGGAACCAUCCUGAUUUUGGAAAUUUCUCAGAGUGUAAUAGAUCACAUAUAUUUGAACUACAGACAGCUUCUUUAGUUUGACCACUACUACCUAUCAAGCAAUGUUUGACUUUAAGCACUCACUGGAGAUUGUAUGUUUCCGUUCCAAACAGUCUUCUCUUUGUUUUUAUUCUUCAGGAAUGUGAACAUGAAUCCUAAAAGCCCCAACAGGCUACAAAUAAGUCCAAAAUAUAGCUACUGUAGGCCUGCAAUUUAUUUCUUUGAUUAUUAGUCAUAUUUAGUGAGUGGGUAGAAUUUUGUUUUCUGAAAGUGCUUCAUACAGUUUAUUGAGUUAGUUGAAAUUAGCAGAAAAAAUAACUGGCAGAAUUGCCUGCCUCUUGGCCUGAGGGCUAGGAGCACAUGAAUGCACUCAAGUCAGUAUCUCCCAGAUGGCAUCCCCAUUGCUGUACCCACUUGAGUCAAGGGACAAGAAGUAAGUACUCCUUUGAAGUACUACAUUAAACAAGAGAUAAGGAACAGUAAACUUAACUGAAACCUAACUGAUGUCAAACAAUUCUGUCUUCCCAUGCACAAUUAGCAGCUGCCGAAACUGUCUUUCAACCUGUAUAAUGUAAUCAUGACAACAAUCAACCAAGCCCUGGCUUUUUUUUUCCUCUUCCCAUGUUAUUCUUUUGCUUCAUCUGAUCUUCCCUAUAAAGCUGAGUGAUAAGACUUUGCAAUUCCAUCUAUGUGUCAGAAGAAACAGUGCACAAGGUAAUGACAGGUUUUGUCACCAUAGUAGUGGCUGUAAACAGUUCCCAAGCUUCCUGUUCCUGAAUGAUGUUGCAGUGGCUUCCUGCAAUUACACAACACAUUGUCAUGCAGAUUAGCUACGGGUCACUGCAUGAGGAUAGGAAACUUCAGAGGUUUCUGUUCAACCUGUCAGGUUGGUAAAUCUAACAUAAGGUCGGGAUCACCUCCAGCAUUUCCAUCCAUAGAGUUUAUUGCAGAUACUCUCUGAGAAGGGGGUGUGAAAGGAAUUGUACUGUUUCACUAAGGAAAUGCUCCAAAUGCCUGUUUUAAGAAUGAACAUUCAGAGUCUAAAUCCUUGUAGGCUUGUAGGAGUGUAGAAGUGUUCCUUCUGGAAAAACAGGAGAGUUGAAGACCCUCAUGUCUUCAACUACAGACCCUCUGGUCUGUAUUUCUCUGAAAAGGGGAUGUAACUACAGUUUUUGAGAAUGAACAGACAGUGAAUGUGUGGCUUCUUCAUUAAUAUGUCAGGGACAAACCCGUGGAAGAGAUGUGCUCCCUUGGGCUCAGAAGAUGGCGUUUAACAGUGAUCUUUUUAUGUGUCUAGAGUUAGGGGAAAUAUCACAGAACCUCUAAGAGCUGAGGAAGAGACAUCAGAGAUAACCUGUAAAGCUAAAUUUAGAAAGGGGAAGCUGAGAAAAAGGUUGAGGCUAACAUAAGCAAGGAAGGAAUCUGUCACAGGCUGACUGUCUGUGAUUUAGCAAAUCUCACACAUACAAAGUAAAUUACAAUUAAUUUGGACUAAACCACAUGCUGAUAUAAUAAUAUAAGCCACGUAUACUCAAAAGAACAAAUGCUGAUUGUAUUUAAAAUUAAAAAAAAAAAAAAAAAAAAAACACCAAAAAA